ensembl:snoRNA Small nucleolar RNA ACA64
ACAGACUGAAAAUGGCCCCUGGUGUGUCAAUGACCUAGGGUCAGAUAACUGUGCCAAUAUUACACUGGUGCGUUAAUGCUUAUCGCGCUUGAUAUCUGUGGCAGUGUGAUAAAACCCAUGUACCAACAAGA